CUGUGACGAUGAAGGACAGAGCUCAGAUGUCACUGGUGCUUGGUGAAUCUGGUGGAGCCCACUGGCUGUAAGAACAAGACUUGGCACCCUCAGAGCCGGGCUGAAGGCACCCUGUCCACUGGGCAAACUGUCAUGGAGGGGAGACUGGGAGCUGUGCUGGGGCUUCUGUGGGUCCAGAUUUGCUGGGUGAGAGGGUUCCAGGUGGAGCAGAGUCCUCCAGCCCUGAGUCUCCAAGAGGGAACCGACUCUACUCUGCGGUGUAAUUUUUCUGCUACUGCAAACAAAGUGCAGUGGUUCCGACAGAAUCCUGGGGGCAGCCUCAUCAAUCUGUUUUUCGUGACUUUAGGGACGAAGAGGAGUGGAAGGUUAGAGGCAACAUUUAAUUCUAAGGACCUCUAUAGCACCCUUCACAUCACAGCCUCCCAGCUGGAAGACUCAGGCACCUACCUGUGUUUAGCAGAGGCACAGUGCCCCCAGGUCACCUGCAGGCUGAGCUCAAACUGCAGCUGGGCCCCUGCCAUGGGGAAGACUGUGCGCCAGCAUUUGUUCAGCUUUGAGCUUUCAAGUUCACACCUUAACACUUUUAUUUCUGCUAAAAUUAGACAUUUCUGGUCUGUCUUUUCACUUGUUUUUUGUACCCUUCCCCCCACCUCGAAACUUUUUGCAACUAAUAAAUCUGUCUUAUAAGGAACCUUUGGAGCAACUGAUAAAGAUUUCAGGAACCAAUUUAUCACAACAGUUCCCCUGACUGAGAGCUUAUAAAUUACUGUGAUAAA